rnacentral:misc_RNA from 1 species
GAAAUGCGAUAAGUAGUGUGAAUUGCAGAAUUCAGUGAAUCAUCGAAUCUUUGAACGCACAUUGCGCCCCUUGGUAUUCCAUGGGGCAUGCCUGUUCGAGCGUCAUUUGUACCCUCAAGCUUUGCUUGGUGUUGGGCGUCUUGUCGGAAUAUCCGACUCGCCUUAAAUACAUUGGCAGCCGGCACUUUGGCCUAGGAGCGCAGCACAUUUUGCGAUCGUAAGCCGUUGUGACAGCAUCCAUAAGAUUUAUUUUACCGCGUUUGACCUCGGAUCAGGUAGGGAUACCCGCUGAACUUAAGC